AUGAACGCUGGCGGCGUGCCUAAUACAUGCAAGUCGCGCGAACAGACGAGGAGCUUGCUCCUCUGACGUUAGCGGCGGACGGGUGAGUAACACGUGGAUAACCUACCUAUAAGACUGGGAUAACUUCGGGAAACCGGAGCUAAUACCGGAUAAUAUAUUGAACCGCAUGGUUCAAUAGUGAAAGACGGUUUUGCUGUCACUUAUAGAUGGAUCCGCGCCGCAUUAGCUAGUUGGUAAGGUAACGGCUUACCAAGGCAACGAUGCGUAGCCGACCUGAGAGGGUGAUCGGCCACACUGGAACUGAGACACGGUCCAGACUCCUACGGGAGGCAGCAGUAGGGAAUCUUCCGCAAUGGGCGAAAGCCUGACGGAGCAACGCUGCGUGAGUGAUGAAGGUCUUCGGAUCGUAAAACUCUGUUAUUAGGGAAGAACAAAUGUGUAAGUAACUAUGCACGUCUUGACGGUACCUAAUCAGAAAGCCACGGCUAACUACGUG
rnacentral:rRNA from 1 species